UAAGGAAUAUUGGUCAAUGGACGCAAGUCUGAACCAGCCAUGCCGCGUGGAGGAUGAAGGUCCUCUGGAUUGUAAACUUCUUUUAUCUGGGAAGAAACCACNGAUUUCUAUUNNNGUUGACGGUACCAGANGAAUAAGCACCGGCUAACUCCGUGCCAGCAGCCGCGGUAAUACGGAGGGUGCAAGCGUUAUCCGGAUUCACUGGGUUUAAAGGGUGCGUAGGNGGGCAGGUAAGUCAGUGGUGAAAUCUCCGGGCCUAACCCGGAAACUGCCGUUGAUACUAUCUGUCUUGAAUAUCGUGGAGAUGAGCGGAAUACGUCAUGUAGCGGUGAAAUGCUUAGAUAUGACNUAGAACACCGAUUGCGAAGGCAGCUCGUUACACNNUUAUUGACUCUGAGGCACGAAAGCGUGGGGAUCAACCAGGAUUAGAUACCCUGGUAGUCCACGCCCUAAACGAUGNNUACUCGACAUCAGCGAUACACUGUUGGUGUCUGAGCGAAAGCAUUAAGUANUCCACCUGGGAAGUACGACCGCAAGGUUG
rnacentral:rRNA from 1 species